rnacentral:rRNA from 2 species
CAUGCAAGUCGAACGGAAACCUUCGGGUUUUAGUGGCGAACGGGUGAGUAACACGUAAGCAACCUACCCUAAAGACGAGGAUAACCAUUGGAAACAGUGGCUAAGACUGGAUAGGAAGAUAAAAGGCAUCUUGUAUCUUUUAAAAGACCUAGUUAAUAGGUAUGCUUUAGGAGGGGCUUGCGCCAUAUUAGUUAGUUGGUAGGGUAAUGGCCUACCAAGACGAUGAUGUGUAGCUGGACUGAGAGGUUGAACAGCCACAUUGGGACUGAGACACGGCCCAAACUCCUACGGGAGGCAGCAGUAGGGAAUUUUCGGCAAUGGAGGAAACUCUGACCGAGCAACGCCGCGUGAAUGACGAAGUACUUCGGUAUGUAAAGUUCUUUUAUCGAGGAAGAAAAGCAAAUGGCGAACCAUUUGUUUGCCGGUACUUGAUGAAUAAGCCCCGGCUAAUUAUGUGCCAGCAGCCGCGGUAAGACAUAAGGGGCAAGUGUUAUCCGGAAUUAUUGGGCGUAAAGGGUGCGUAGGCGGUCUAGUAAGUCAGUGGUGUAAUGGCAACGCUUAACGUUGUCCGGCUAUUGAAACUGCUAAACUUGAGUUAGAUAGAGGCGAGUGGAAUUCCAUGUGUAGCGGUAAAAUGCGUAAAUAUAUGGAGGAACACCAGAGGCGUAGGCGGCACGCUGGGUCUUAACUGACGCUGAGGCACGAAAGCGUGGGGAGCAAACAGGAUUAGAUACCCUGGUAGUCCACGCCGUAAACGAUGAGUACUAAGUGUCGGGUUAAACCGGUACUGAAGUUAACACAUUAAGUACUCCGCCUGAGUAGUACGUACGCAAGUAUGAAACUUAAAGGAAUUGACGGGACUCCGCACAAGCGGUGGAUCAUGUUGUUUAAUUCGAAGAUACCCGAAAAACCUUACCAGGUCUUGACAUGUUUUUGCAAAAUGAUAGUAAUAUCGUGGAGGUUACCAGAAACACAGGUGGUGCAUGGUUGUCGUCAGCUCGUGUCGUGAGAUGUUAGGUUAAGUCCUAAAACGAGCGAAACCCUUAUCGUUAGUUGCCAGCACGUUAUGGUGGGGACUUUAACGAGACUGCCAAUGAUAAAUUGGAGGAAGGUGAGGAUCACGUCAAAUCAGCAUGCCCCUUAUGACCUGGGCUACAAACGUGAUACAAUGGCUGUUACAAAGGGUAGCUGAAACGCAAGUUCUUGGCCAAUCCCCAAAAACAGUCCCAGUCCGGAUUGAAGUCUGCAACUCGACUUCAUGAAGUUGGAAUCGCUAGUAAUCGCGAAUCAGCAUGUCGCGGUGAAUACGUUCUCGGGGUUUGUACACACCGCCCGUCAAACCACGAAAGUUGGCAAUACCCCAAAACGGUAGCCUAACUCGUUUAUUCGAGAGGGCGCCGUCUAAGGUAGGGUCGAUGAUUGGGGUUAAG